rnacentral:rRNA from 1 species
GAUGAACGCUGGCGGCGUGCCUAAUACAUGCAAGUCGAGCGAACAGACGAGGAGCUUGCUCCUCUGACGUUAGCGGCGGACGGGUGAGUAACACGUGGAUAACCUACCUAUAAGACUGGGAUAACUUCGGGAAACCGGAGCUAAUACCGGAUAAUAUAUUGAACCGCAUGGUUCAAUAGUGAAAGACGGUUUUGCUGUCACUUAUAGAUGGAUCCGCGCCGCAUUGGCUAGUUGGUACGGUAACGGCUUACCAAGGCGACGAUGCGUAGCCGACCUGAGAGGGUGAUCGGCCACCCUGGAACUGAGACACGGUCCAGACUCCUACGGGAGGCAGCAGUAGGGAAUCUUCCGCAAUGGGCGAAAGCCUGACGGAGCAACGCCGCGUGAGUGAUGAAGGUCUUCGGAUCGUAAAACUCUGUUAUUAGGGAAGAACAAAUGUGUAAGUAACUAUGCACGUCUUGACGGUACCUAAUCAGAAAGCAACGGCUAACUACGUG